UGGGGAAUUUUGCACAAUGGAGGAAACUCUGAUGCAGCGACGCCGCGUGAGUGAUGAAGAUCUUCGGAUUGUAAAACUCUGUCCUUAGUGAAGAUAAUGACAGUAACUAAGAAGCAAGCCCUGGCUAAAUACGUGCCAGCAGCCGCGGUAAUAUGUAUGGGGCAAGCGUUGUCCGGAAUUAUUGGGCGUAAAGGGUACGUAGGCGGUUUAAUAAGUCCUAAUUAAAAGGCUAUGGCUCAACCAUAGUAUGGUUAGGAAACUGUUGAACUUGAGUAGAUGAGGGGAAAGUGGAAUUCCAUGUGUAGCGGUGAAAUGCGUAGAUAUAUGGAGGAACACCAAUGGCGAAGGCAACUUUCUGGAAUCAAACUGACGCUGAGGUACGAAGGCGUGGGGAGCAAACAGG
rnacentral:rRNA from 1 species